ACUUAUGAGUGACUUAUAAAUGGAAUAUGGGUUUUGUGUCUCAUAUUCCAUGGAGAGAGAAUGGUUGAUUUGGAUUUUAUUCGGCAUGGGCGGAUCCGGAAAUGGGUUUUUCAUUGGGGAUAUAGUGUUGGAGAGUGGAUGCAGAAGAUGAUGAAAACUAAAAAAAAAAAAAUUCCCCUGCGAAAAUGGCGGAUGUAAUCAAUCGAAUAACCCCAGCUUCAACAACAGAAGUUACCUUUUAAUCCUAUGACACCAACUGCAUUUGUGCCACAAGGGAGUGUAGGUUGGACUGUGGUUGAACUUCAAGCUUCUCCACCUCAAGUGAAGGAGCAGUCUGGUAAGGCUAAAAAGCCCUAGCACUGAAAGUCUAGAACUCCAUCUCAAACUCUGGUCAUGAAUCCCAUAAUGGAAGUCAGUCUUAGGAACAAACUCUUUGGUAAUUCAGCUCUGAUAUCGACGAAAGUAUGCUAGAAUUUGCUCCGGGAGCUCAAGAAGUGUUAAAAGCACCUGAGAUUUCUUACCCUUCACAAAAAUUAAGCCUUGAAAGUUGUCCUCCUUCAUGAGUAAAACGUUAUUAAUGAGACUUUACCAAAUUCCAAGACAAAAAAGAAAGUAAUGAUCCAUAAGACUCAUACUCAAGUUCACAAGAUCCAUAUUCUUGUUAACCCGUAUACACGACAACACCUACUAAUUUAUUAUUUUUUGUGUUGGGUUUAGGAAUUCCCUAUCGGGAUCCUAGUUAGUAAUUCGGGAUUCGGCAAACGUACGGAACGGCAAAUGUACGAGUAUUAUACGGUUUUAUA